AGGUGAUCUGCCGUGAUUGUAUAUUGUUGCAGUAUUAAUCCAUGUUUUUUAUGUAUUAUAUGUUGUGUUGAUGCUAUUUAAGGACAAAUUUAACAUGUUAUUCCACGAACAAAUCUGAAAAAAUGAGUUUGUCAGAGCUUAAGAAAAUUACAGCAAAUAUUUGAUACCGGUAGUCAAAGAGAUUCUCUAAUUGAAGAUGUUACAUGAGAAAUCGUAUUGGUUUAUAAUCCUGAAAAUAACAUAGAAAUCAUCCUUAAAUAGCCAAUAAUUCCAUUGAUUUUCAAUAUCAUGCUACUUUUGUGAUGACAAAGUGUGGUGAUUUGUAUAUCUAUUAAUACUUAACUGUAAUGGGCGAUAUACAGCUAUAGCUCUUGUUGGGGCAAUAUAUCAUUAUAUGAUGUACCCUGUAUACUUAUAUUAACCUUACAAUGUUAUUGCAUUAUCAUCUAUAGUCUAUAAGGUAACUCUACAUAGUCUAUUGUGUUUUUGAGGCAUCCCGCAUACAAAUCUUGUAUGUGAAAAAAGACAUUUUUGAAACAUUUCAAGAGAUAUUUGUCAAUUUCAUCAGUUUCAAGGAUUGAAAACCGAAUUGUCGCUGGAAAAAAGGAUUUUCAUUCUUUUGCAGCUGAAAACAGUCACCCUUAAUAUUUACUUUCGAAAAGUGCAGUCUGAAGAAGUGUAUGAUAAGGUCCUACAAGUUUGGGACGUGUCUGUCAAUCAAAAUUGAUACCUUUCAGAAGUGAAAGAUAAGGUGAAGACUUUUGGAAAGUUUAUUGCUGGGGUAGACAUGUUUAUUUGUUAAGAAAAUGGCCGACACUGACAGGGAUAACUUCUCUUACAAAUCUGUGUGUUCCUAUUGAAAUGUCUUCACGACAACAGUUGUUUUCUAAAAAUAAAAGUCGUAGGACAUUUGAGUGCUACUGGAACAGAUCUGUAGCAGCAGUUUAGAUAUAACAUCUAGUUAAACUAGAGAUUUUUGUGAUGAGGACGAGUCUUGUGUAGAAGUGAUUAUGGCGGUUAUACUGUACCGUGCUUACCUCGGUUUCCAUUGACCAGCUGUAUGUGAUCCAGUUGAUCAGAUCUAUAUUCAUGGUAGACGAGUUAAUACUGUAAAGUUAUUUAUUUUGGCACACUUACUUUUAGCGCAAAACUAAAUUUCAACAGAUUUGGCGAAUUGAUAUAUCGACACAACCACAGUACAUGUGUAGAGAAUGUACAGAAACUUCGAUUAACUCAGACAUGAUUUAGCGGAAGUCUUAAACGCGAAAAGUGCUAAAAUAACAUCACCGCAAAAAUCUAUAAAUUUACAGUAGUUUCUCAUUACUAUGGUAAAUUUGUUUUAAUGUGUAUGUGAUUUUUGAAAUGGGUAUCAAGUUACAAGUUCAAAGGUAUUGUGUUUUUACACAGAGCCGGAGCACUGUACAGUAUAUUAACUGAUGUUAUUGACAAUGUAAAAUUCUCUUUGACUUUUAAUACUUUGUCGAAGUAACAAUGAAAUGGUAAUAGACUGUCAGGAUUGAUGAAUAAGUGCCACACAAAUUUUCAUUUAAUAGUUGAGAACUUAUCCAUUAUGUCAAAUUCAGCUUUACAGCUAUAAUAGACAUUCAGACGAUGCUUUGGAAGAUGUUGGUGAUACAAUUCAUUUUCUGUUUGUUUGGAUGAGAUUGUAUUAUCCACUGUUAAAAAAACUAGAAAUCUAACAUUGGUUAUAUACAUCUGUAUAUCAGCCAUUUUGCUUCAUACUUGGUGUAUAGACUUCACCAAUAUAACAUUGACAGGUACAAGGUUUUUUUUUCUGCAGUUUUAAUUUUUGUUUUGGCAAAAUUGAUUUUAAAUGGUUGUGGUUUAUGCAAUUGUAAAUGUUCAAUGUCUGCUUGCCCUAGACAACAUUUCCUUUUCACAACGGCUUGAACUAUAACAGGAUAGGCUGUUGCGACAAAGCAUUACAUACAUUAACACGGUAGGAGUCGCAAUGGAGCUUUGCGUGUGAUACAGUAGGGUGAGCUGAAGGCUGGCCAUAUAGAUACCUCGGACUUUUUAAAUUGUCUAGUCAGCCCUGCAAUCUUUUGACAAAACAUUAUUUCAGUGCCAAGACGCCAGUACAACAAAGUGAUUCAAUAAAUGUACAGAUGAGAUUUGUAUAGGUAACACGUGUUACAAUUGUAAAAAAGAAAAAAAAUACAGUGGAGUUACUUCCCUUGCAUAUGAAAUUAAGAAAGAUAGAUGUAAAAAAUCAGAUGUAAAUUAUAGUAAAUAGGGAUUAAACUCCCAUUAUGAAAUCUGCAAAAUAUUGAUAGUGAAUCAACUUUUUGUGUGAAGAUAUGUUUAUAAAAUGUCUUUCCAAAUAUAUUGGUGUACAUUAUUGAAAACAGGGUUUGUGGAAAAAGCCAUGUGAAUGAGGUUAUGAGAUAUUUUCUUAUUUAUUUAUUUGUAAUAUUUUUUUUUCAAUUUCGUAACUUUUGCUACCUAGCCCAUUGCUGCCUAGUUGUGUAGAUACCAAAUGCUUGUACAUGGAUUUGUUUUUGUUACGGUAGAUUUUGUUAAUAAGACAAUAUCAGGAGAAUAUUACUGGAGAUUUGGUCUGUGACCCAGAGGUCAAUAAUAAUGACCCCUGACCUCUUAUAUUACUUUAUAGAAUCAUGAUUUACUUACCUCAGAGGUCAAUUAAAUUUUCUGCAUAUCUUGUUAUUGAAAUGCAUGGGUGAAUUAUAGCUGAAAGUUUGAUAUGUUUAAAUGUUUUUUUGCUUAAAAUUGCAUACUACCAUGUUCAAAGACGAAGUGUAAACAACUGCACAGGUGAUAUGUGCCUAACUUAGUGAACAGGGGAAGACGGUAUGAUGUUGAAAAUCCUAGAGACAGAGUCUGAAUGAUCCAUUAUCACUCUCCCAGAUAUCUGCGUGUUUAAUCUGCAAUCUUCAAUAUUUACGUCUCGGUUGCUUUAAUAAAUGUAGCUUUAUUAUGGAAUGAUGUUCAGUACCAGAUUUUACUGAAUGAUCAGUAGUAGAUUUUUAUAUUGGGUGAUGCUAUGUAAUAUGUUCUUCUGGCAAUAUGGUUUGAUGGUACACAAUUCACAAGAUUUCAGCUGAACUUAGCCAGUCAUGUUUAACAAAUGCUGGAGUCCUAGGCCUUGAGGUAAACAAUAUUAUCCCACUUUUAAUAGUGUUUAGAUAUUUUCAGUGACAGUACAUGUAAAAUAUUAAAACAAAUUAAAGGUGAGAGGGUUAAGGAACACAUUUUCAUCAUGUACGUUGAUCUCAUGGUUGCAGUUAAGCUUACACGGAUGUCCUCAGUGCUAGACAUCUUUUGCUGUUGUGAAGUGUACAUUUAUUUCUACCAAGUGUUCUUUUUACAUGUACAAAUAAACCAUCAGACUUUACAUUGUAAAAAAAGCAACUUACGACCUAUUGAAGCAAUUAUUUAGUAAUUAGGUGUCAAGGUCAUGUGUUCAAGGUCAUUUGUGAAGUCAAAGGUCAUAGACAUAGGAAAGCAAUAUAGUACAAUUACUUUUGACUUGUCUUGAUUGCGAGUUGAUAAUUAUAUAAUUCUUACAUGUACUUUGUGAUUAUAUUUAAAUCAUUAAGUGAUUGUUGAUAUGAUGACAAUUCCACACCAUGGAUAUAGUAACUCAAUGUGCUUCAGUCUUUCCAUUUAUAUAAAUUUGGUUUUUGUAAAUUUUAGGAGAUUUCAUUUUCAUUCUUCUUGGGUGUUUUCAUCUGUGAAUCUCUGAGAGAUGUUGUACUUUGUACACCAAACUGCCAUUCAGAGAAUGCUUAUAGUCAUGGCAAACUCCAGGUAAUUCUCUCAAACUGAUACAAAGUUACAAAAUGCUGAAACAAAACAUGAACAAAAUAUCUCAAAAUCAAGAUUACAUAUAAGGAUAUAUCCGGUAACUUACACAACUGUAAAAUAUCUACUGCUGUAGAAUAGAAAGAGAUAAAAACAUUUUUGACAGCUCAUAUGGAUAUAAUAUUACGCUAUGUGAAAUCUGCCAAAGUUUUAUGGAAUCUAUAAGAGGGUUAGCUUGGCACUACCUGAUUGGUUUGUAUGAGUUUGAGGGAAUUGCUGAAGACUUGUCGGCCCCCUCUCCAUACCGUUGCUUCCCCCAUUGUCUAUGCCAGUCACGUUUUUAUCCGUUGUUUUCAAUUUACAUGUAACCAACUGUGAAACAGAUUCGCGCGAAACAAUAAAUAUUAUUGUCAUGAUUUA